rnacentral:lncRNA from 1 species
AAGACUAUAUUUCAUUUACUAAAAGUCAAAACUCAAAACAAACUAUUCAACAGAAAGUGCAUGACGCUUAUGAGAUAUUCAACACAUCAUCUUCGUCAAACACAUUUGAAUCCACUUGUGACAAGGUUGUCUUAACAUCUUCACUUUCAUCUAUAUCCACGAUUCAUAUGCAAAAUUAAUUAGUUGAAUAUUAAAAAUAAUUAAAUUUUAAAAACUAAUAAUAUUUAAAUGCACAUAAAAAAUAUUACCAGUUUGAGUUUGGGAAAAAUCGUGCAGCCAAUUUCGAGUAGUAACAAGUGUUUGGACAUUUUAAUGAUGGAUACAACUUCUGUACUUUGUGAGAACACGCCCAUCAAUGCUAAGUGCUGAUUCUGAUGCUAUAGUGGUAAUAGGAAUAUUUAAGUACAUCAUGCGCCAUCACUGAAAGAUCUGGAUAUUGUCUAGAUUGGUCCUUCCAAUACAUGACAACAUCCAUCUCUUGAAACUUCUCAUGAUCAAGUUUUGAUUCCUCUAAGUAAGGAUCCCAUUCUGACUCUCCAUCACUUGUGACGAUCCGGCCAGUCGUCUCAUGAGUUACUGCUCCGUUUCCCCCAUUUCUGCUUCUUAUUGCUUUGUCUAAUGGUCCUAUAUGCAAUUGGGUUGGUUGGCUCGGGUUUGGAAAUGAAUUGGUAAGGUUUGAGACACUUAGGCUCUUUUGAGGAAGCUUAAGUUGGAAAAGUCAACCGGAUGUUGACUUAUAAAUUAGAGGGAUCGGAUGUGAGUUCCGAUGGUUCGGUUAGCUUCGGGAGGUGAUUUGGGACUUAGGAGCGUGAUCAGAAUGAGUUUUGGAGGUUCGGAGUAGAUUUAGGCUUGAAUUGGCGAAGUUGAUACUUUGGCGAUUUUUGGUUGGUAGGUGAGAUUUUGAUAUAGGGGUCGGAAUGGAAUUUCAAGAGUUGCAGUAGUUCCGUUGUUUCAUUUGGGAUGUGUGUGAAAUUUAGGUAUUUUGGACGUGGUUUGGUUGAGUUUUUUUUUAUCAAAAGCGGAAUUUAGAAGUUUUUGGAAUUCUUAGGCUUGAAUGCAAUGUAAUUUUGGUGUUUUGAUGUUGUUUUGGGAGUUCCGAGGGUUGAAACAAGUUUGAAUGAGGCUAUGGGAUAUGUUGGCAUGUUUGGUUGGGGUCCUGAGGGCCUCGGGUGAGUUUCGAAGGGUUGAACGAAUCAUUUUAAGUUAAAGAAAAGUUGCAGAUUUUGGUUUUAACCGUUGCAGGUAUUUUGUUCUUCGCUUUCGCGAGUGAACCCUCGCGUUCACGAAGGGUCAGGAAGGGAGGCAUCAGGAUUGGCCUUCGCGUUCGCGAGGGGGAGUCCCGCAUUCGCGAAGGGCCGGAAUGGGAAGCAUCACGUUCGCGAGAGGCUUGACCGUGUCCGCGAAGGUUGGUGAAGUUGAGGCAUCGUGUUCACGAUGGUGCGAUCACGUUCGCGAAGGAGACUUUUGGUCAAUGGAAUUUUGUGCUUCGCGAACGCGAGGCUAUGACCGCGUUCGCGAAGAAGGAUUUCUGAUCGCUGGGCAGAAUGUUUAAAGGCCAUUUUCGCGAGUUUUGGCCUAAGUCCACCAUUUUUUACUCGGUUUUGAGGCUUUAUGAGAGAGAUUGGAGAGGGAAUCAAGGAGGACUUGUUGGAAGUAAGAAUUUUGGACUUAAAACUCGAUUCUAAUGUGAAAUCUACCUAAUAAAUCAUGGAAUCUAAGCUUAAAAUUGAGGAAUUAGGGCUUGGGAUUAAGAGACUUUAAAAUGAGAAUUUGAGGGGUCAUUUGGACUCCGAUUUUAGUAUUCUUAGUAUGUAUAGACUCGUGGGAGGAUAAGGAUUCCGUUGAUGUGAUUUUUAUCAAGUUUCGAGACGUGGGCCCAGGGGUCGGGUUUGGCCUAUUUCGAGAUUUUUGGUAUAAUUUGAUUAUUUUCGCUUGGGCUUCGUUCCCUAUGCAUAUUUUGAUGCCGUGAUUCUGAUUUUGGAUAGAUUCAACACGAGUGUAGGCCUAUUCGAAGGGCAAAGGCGCCGUAGAGUAGUAUUUUCUCCGGUUUGAGGUAGGUAACAAUUGUAAAUCUGGAACUGAGGGUAUAAAACCCCGAUAUUUGACUUAUUUUGAUAAUUGCAGUGACGCACAUGCUAGGUGACGAGCGUGUGGGCGUGCACCAGUAGGGAUUGUGACUUAGUCCAUCUCGUAGCAACUAUUAAGCUGCGUAUCUGAUUUGGAACCUUAUGAUAUUCCGUACUUUAGUCAUUUAUACUAUAUUAUGGGUUGUAUGCCAUAUUUGCGGCCUUGUGCAGACCUGUUGAGACCCUUAGGGGCAUUUUUACUAUUUUUCCUCACUCUACUUGUUGAAAGCAUAUCCCCAAUCAUGUUUUACCUAUUUGAAUGUUUAAAGCUGGUUUUAUCACUCUAUCUCUAAAUGUGAGGACUGUUUGGACGGAGUUCCCUAUUUUCUACUAUUGUGCCCGAGAGGCUGUGAGGUUAAUGACUGAGAGAAGUUGAGAACCUAAUGGCGAGGACAUUUAUAUAUGUAUGAGUUAUGGAUCGGGUUGCACGGUGCAUCGAUACUUAUAUGGAUCGGGUUGCACGUCGCAUCCAAUAUAUUGGAUCGGGCUGCGCGUCGCAGCGAUAUGACACUUGGGCUGUAGGAGCCCAUCCGGAGUCUGUACACCCCCAGUGAGCGUAGUCGACUAUAAACUAUGGAUUGGGCUGCACGCCGCAGUGGUUACUAUGAUUUCUAUUAUUAUGAGAUAUUAAUGAGCCUGAGUGCUGAGAGUGAGUACUGAGUGAUGAGAGUUGAGUCACGAGUGACUGAGAGGCUGCCCGAGAGGCCAUAUUCUGAGUGACACCUUGCCCGAGGUGCCCAAUUAUGAUAUUGUCACUGAUUCCACUCUUCUUUUAAAAUAAGUUUCUGUUGCAAAAAUUGUUAAGUAUAUGGUUUCAAGUAUUUAAAUUGAAAUUGAUGACUUUACGACGACACUGCUUUUAAACUGUGAAGUUAAUCUGUUAUCCCAUUGUUCAUUUAUUUAUAUGAUUUUUAACUACUCGUCACUGUUUUUUGACCAUAUUUACUUUAGUUACUUACUGAGUUAGCGUACUCACGUUACUCCCUGCACCGUGUGUGCAGAUCUAGGUGCCCGGGCAGUAGAGUGAGGGUCCUCAGCAUUAGCAGAGUUUGUCGGAGACUGCAAGGUAGCUACAUGGCAUCCGCAGCCCUGCUUUCUUCCUCUAUCCUUGUUUUUCCGCAUUUUAGACUUGUUUUGUAUCAAACAGUCAAAUUUUUAUAUGCUAGAGGCUCUAGACUUGUGACACCAGAUGGUUGGGCUGUGUUGGUUUAACAUUGUAUUGAUUUUCGCACAUUAUGGCUGUUUUAUGUACUUCUUAUGAAAAAUUGAGGUUUUAAACUUGUGUUAGAAAAAUGGUUUUAAAAAAGGAAUUUGUUGUAGUUAAUGGUUUGGGUUGGCUUGCCUAGUAAUGUGAUAGGCGCCAUCAUGACCGGAUAUUUGAGGUCGUGACAAGUUGGUAUCAGAGCCUAGGUUACAUAGGUCUCGUGAGUCAUGAGCCGGUUUAGUAGAAUCUCGCGGAUCGGUAUGGAGACAUCUGUACUUAUCCUCGGGAGGCUGUAGGACCUUUAGGAAAAACUUCAUACUCUUGAAAUUCUUGUCGUGUGAAUCUGUUGAUCCGAGUACUAAACUUCUGUUAUUCCAUUCUCUCACAGAUGGUGAGGACACGUGCUACCGGGAAGGAUGGAUGACCACCAGUACCACCAGCUGGGGCUACUAGAGGCCGACGACACGGUCGAGGUCGUGGUAGGGGCAGAGCAGCUAAGGUAGCACCUGCAGAUCCACCAACUGCCCCAGUUCAAGAUCAGGUCCAAGAUGUGGACGCUACAACAACACUAGCUCAGGCACCCACCGUGCCUAUUGCGGUUCUAGGCCUCUAGGAGGCUUUAGCUCAGAUCUUGUCAGUGUGUACCGAUUUGGCUCAGGCGAUCUUAGUUACUACGGCCGCAGCUAGUUCUCAGGCCGGGGGAGGCACCCAGAUUCCCAUUGCUCGCACACCAGAGUAGGUUGUGUAGGGACUCCAAACACCGGGGGCACUCCAGCCCAGCCGGUUGCACCAGCUCAGGAGUAUAUGGUACCAGUUAUGCCAGACGACAAGCAUCGUCGACUAGAGAGGUUUGGCAGACUUCAACCUCCAACUUUCAACGGGGCAGAGGGCGAGGAUGCUUGGAUAUUUGCUAGAGGAUGCUUCGUACAACAGGUAUUCUAGAGACUAGUGGUGUAGCUUUUACCAUCUUUCAGUUUUCUGGGGCUGCCUUCACUAGGUGGGAGGUGUAUGAGAGGCGUAGGCCUGUUGGUGCAGCGCCCCUUACAUGGCAACAGUUCUCUGUUAUCUUUCUGGAGAAGUAUGUGCCACAGUCUCGCGAGAGGAGCUGCGCAGGCAGUUCUAGCAGUUGCGUUAGGGAGAUAUGACUGUGACAUAGUAUGAGAUACGGUUCUCUAAGUUAUCUUGUCAUGUGGUCUGGUUGGUUCCGACAGAUAGAGAAAUGAUUAUGAGGUUUGUUGAUGUUCUCACAUAUCAGCUUUAGAUUCUCAUGAUUAGGGAGAGGGUGACAGGUGCUACUUUUGAGGAGGUUGUUGACAUCGCCUGUGAGAUUGAGUCGGUUCAGGAGCGAGAGGAGAGGGAGGCCAAGAGGCCUCAGGGAUCUAGUAGCUUUAGUAGUGCCCCUUUGAGGGGUCAGUUCCAGCAGGGCAGAUGCCGUCCAUUCAGGCAGGCUCAUUCAGCUCGCCCAGGUUAUAGUGGGGCAUCGUCGAGUCAUGGUUCUCACAGUUCUCAUCAGGGCCACUCAUCACUCAAUGCCUUUCCAGCCCAUAGUUCGUCCCGUGCUCCAUUAGUUCAGGGUUCUUCCAUGCCAGGUCCUUCUACUGGUCAUUCCAGUGUCAGGGGUUCCUUUCAGUCCCCAUCUCCAUUACCGAGGAGUUGUUAUGAGUGUGGAGAGUUUGGGCAUAUGAGGAGGCAGUGUCCUCAUCUUUAUGAUGGUCCCUCUCAGCAGAGCGGUCAACCCUCAACUUCAGCUUUAGUUACUUCACCACCCGCCCAGCCAACUAGGGGUAGAGGUUAGGCAGCUAGGGGUCGCCCUAGAGGGGGAGGUCGAUCAGGUGGUGGUCAGGCUUGUUUCUAUGCCCUCCCAUGUAGACCAGAUGNNNNNNNNNNNNNNNNNNNNNNNNNNNNNNNNNNNNNNNNNNNNNNNNNNNNNNNNNNNNNNNNNNNNNNNNNNNNNNNNNNNNNNNNNNNNNNNNNNNNNNNNNNNNNNNNNNNNNNNNNNNNNNNNNNNNNNNNNNNNNNNNNNNNNNNNNNNNNNNNNNNNNNNNNNNNNNNNNNNNNNNNNNNNNNNNNNNNNNNNNNNNNNNNNNNNNNNNNNNNNNNNNNNNNNNNNNNNNNNNNNNNNNNNNNNNNNNNNNNNNNNNNNNNNNNNNNNNNNNNNNNNNNNNNNNNNNNNNNNNNNNNNNNNNNNNNNNNNNNNNNNNNNNNNNNNNNNNNNNNNNNNNNNNNNNNNNNNNNNNNNNNNNNNNNNNNNNNNNNNNNNNNNNNNNNNNNNNNNNNNNNNNNNNNNNNNNNNNNNNNNNNNNNNNNNNNNNNNNNNNNNNNNNNNNNNNNNNNNNNNNNNNNNNNNNNNNNNNNNNNNNNNNNNNNNNNNNNNNNNNNNNNNNNNNNNNNNNNNNNNNNNNNNNNNNNNNNNNNNNNNNNNNNNNNNNNNNNNNNNNNNNNNNNNNNNNNNNNNNNNNNNNNNNNNNNNNNNNNNNNNNNNNNNNNNNNNNNNNNNNNNNNUUUAUCACCAGUUGAAGAUCAGGGACUCAGAUAUUCUUAAGAAAAUUUUUAGGACCCGAUAUGGUCAUUAUGAGUUCUUGAUGAUGUCUUUUGGGCUGACCAAUGCCCCAGUAGCGUUCAUGCAUUUGAUGAACAGCGCGUUCCGGCCUUAUCUCAAUUCGUUUGUCAUAGUCUUCGUUGAUGAUAUUCUGGUGUAUUCGCGUAGUGAGGAGGAGCACGCGGAGCAUUUGAGAGUUGUGUUGCAGAGAUUGAGGAAGGAGGAGCUUUAUGCAAAAUUCUCCAAGUGUGAGUUUUGGCUCAGUUCAGUGGCUUUCUUAGGGCACGUGGUGUCCAACGAGGAUAUUCAGGUUGAUCCGGAAAAGAUAGAGGCGGUUCAGAGUUGGCCCAGACUGUCCUCAGCCACAGAGAUUCGCAGCUUUCUUGGUUUGGCAGGCUAUUAUUGCCGGUUUGUUCAGGGAUUCUCAUCUGUCGCAUUGCCCUUGACCAAGUUAACUUAGAAGGGUGCUUUAUUUGUAUGGUCGGACGAGUGUGAGGAGAUCUUUCAGAAGCUCAAGACAACUUUGACCACAGAUCCAGUAUUAGUUUUGUCAUGAGCUUUAGGUCCAUAUACCGUGUAUUAUGAUGCUUCGAGAGUUGGUAUUGGUUGUGUAUUGAUGCAGGAGGGUAGAGUUAUUGCUUAUGUUUCUCAUCAAUUGAAGCCCCAUUAGAAGAACUACCCCAUUCACGAUUUGGAGUUGGCUGUCAUAGUUCACGCGUUGAAGAUUUGGAAGCAUUACUUGUAUGAUGUGUUUUGCGAGGUGUUUACUGAUCAUCGUAGCCUCCAACACUUAUUCAAAUAGAAAGAUCUCAAUUUGAGGCAACGAGGGUGGUUGGAGUUGCUUAAGGAUUAUGAUAUCACUAUAUUGUACCAUCCGGGGAAGACCAAUGUGGUGGCCGAUGCUUUGAGCCGAAAGACGGUGAGUAUGGGGAGUUUGGCAUAUAUUCCAAUUGGGGAGAGACCUCUUGCAGUUGAUGCUCAGGCCUUGGCCAAUCGGUUCAUGAGGUUAGAUGUUUCGGAGCCCAGUCGGGUAUUGGCUUGCAUGGUUUCUCGGUCUUCAUUAUAUGAUCGCAUCAUAGAGCGCCAGUAUGAUGAUCCGCAUUUUCUUGUCCUUAAGGAUAGAGUUCAGCAUGAUGAUGUAAGAGAUGCGACUAUAGGUGAUAAUGGGGUGUUGAGGAUGCAGGGCCAGAUAUACGUGCCCAAUUUGGAUGGGCUUCGGGAGUUUAUUCUGGAGGAGGUCCAUAGCUCGCGGUAUUCCAUUCAUCCCGGUGCCACGAAGAUGUAUCAGGAUUUGAGGCAACAUUAUUGGUGGAAAAAAAUGAAGAAAGACAUUAUGUGAUUUGUAGCUCGGUGUCUCAAUUGUCAGCAGGUGAAAUAUGAGCAUUAGAGACCGGGUGGCUUGCUUCAGCAGAUGGAUAUUCUAGAGUGGAAGUGGGAGAGGAUCACAAUAGACUUUGUAGUUAGACUUCCACGGACUUUAAGGAAGUUCGAUGCUAUUUGGGUGAUCGUGGAUCGGCUGACCAAGUUCGCGCACUUCAUUCCUCUGUGUACUACCUAUACUUCAUAAUGGUUGGCAAAGAUCUAUAUCCUGGAGAUUGUUCGUUUGCAUGGUGUCCUAGUUUCCAUCAUUUCGGAUAGGGGAACUCAGUUUACCUCGUAGUUUUGGAGGUCUGUGCAGCGAGAGUUGGGUACUCAGGUCGAGUUGAGUACAACUUUUCACCCUCAGACGGACGGGCAGUCCGAGCGCAUUAUUCAGAUAUUUGAGGACAUGUUGCGUGCUUGUGUCAUUGAUUUCAAAGGGUCAUGGGAUUAGUUUCUACCGUUUGCAGAGUUUUCUUAUAACAACAACUACCAGUCGAGUAUUCAGAUGGCUCCGUAUGAGGCUUUGUAUGGGAGGUGGUGUAGAUCUCCAAUUGGUUGGUUCGAUCCCGGUGAGGCUAGGCUAUUGGGGACAGACCUGGUGCAGGAUGCUUUAGAAAAGGUGAAGGUAAUUCAGGAGAGGCUUCGUAUCGCACAGUCAAGGCAAAAGAGUUAUGCUGACAGGAAGGUUCGAGAUGUGUCUUACAUGGUUGGCAAAAAGGUUCUGUUGAAGGUUUCGCCCAUGAAGGGUGUUAUGAGAUUUGGAAAGAAAGGUAAAUUGAGUCCUCGGUUCAUUGGGCCUUUUGAGGUGCUUCAGAUGAUUGGGGAGGUGGAUUAUGAGCUUGCUUUGCCACCCAGCUUGUCGAGUAUGCAUCCGGUAUUUUAUGUUUCUAUGCUCCGGAAGUAUAUUGGGGAUCCGUCUCAUGUUCUGGAUUUUAGCACGGUUCAGUUAGAUGAUGAUUUGACCUAUGAUGUGGAGCCAAUAGCUAUUUCGGGUCAUCAGGUUCGAAAGUUGAGGUCAAAGGAUAUAGCUUCAGUGAAAGUGCAGUGGAGAGGUCAGCCCGUGGAAGAGGCUACCUGGGAGACCAAGCGGGAGAUGUGGAGCAAAUAUCCUCACCUGUUUGAGGCUUCAAGUAUGUUUCUUGACUUGUUCGAGGAUGAACGUUUGUUUAAGUUGGGGAGGACGUGAUGACCCAGCCAGUCGUCUCAUGAGUUACCGCUUCAUUUCCCCCAUUUCUGCUUCUUAUUGCUUUGUCUAAUGGUCCUAUAUGCGAUCGGGUUGGUUAGCUCAGGUUCGGAAAAGAAUUGGUAAGGUUCAAGACACUUAGUCUCUUUUGAGGAAGCUUAAGUUGGAAAAGUCAUCCGGAUAUUGAUUUAUGAGUUAGAGGGCUCAGAUGGGAGUUCCGAUGGUUCGGUUAGCUUCAGAAGGUGAUUUGGGACUCAGGAGCGUGAUCGGAAUGAGUUUUGGAGGUUCGGAGUAGAUUUAGGCUUGAAUUGACGAAGUUGAUAUUUUGGCGAUUUCCGGUUGGUAGGUGAGAUUUUGAUAUAGGGGUCGAAAUGGAAUUCCGAGAGUUGUAGUAGUUCAAUUGUGUCAUUUGAGAUGUGUGUGCAAAAUUUCAGGUCAUUCAGACGUGGUUUGGUCGGGUUUUUUAUCAAAAGCGGAAUUUAGAAGUAUUUGGAAUUCUUAGGCUUGAAUCCAAUGUAAUUUUGGUGUUUUGAUGUUGUUUUGGGAGUUCCGAGGGUUGGAACAAGUUUAAAUAAGGUGAUGGGAUAUGUUGGCAUGUUUGGUUGGGGUCCCGAGGGCCUCGGGUGAGUUUCAGAGGGUUGAACGGAUCAUUUUAAGUUAAAGAAAGGUUGCAGAUUUUGGUUUCAGUUGUUGCAGGUAUUUUGUUCUUCGCGUUCGCGAAGGGUCAGGAAGGGAGGCAUUAGGAUUGUCCUUCGCGUUCGCGAGGGUGAGUCCCGCAUUCGCGAAGGGCUGGAAUGGGAAGCAUCGCAUUCGCGAGAGGCCUGACCGCACUCGUGAAGGUUGGUAAAGCUGAGGCAUUGCGUUCGCGAUGGUGCGAUCACGUUCACGAAGGAGAGUUUUGGUCAAUGAAAUUUUUGUUCUUCGCGAACGCGAGGCUUUAACCGCGUUCGCGAAGAAGGAUUUCUGAUCACUGGGCAAAAUGUUUAAAAGGUCAUUUUCGCGAGUUUUGCCCUAAGUCCACCAUUUUUUACUCGGUUUUGAAGCUUUUUGAGAGAGAUUGGAGAGGGAAUCAAGGAGGACUUGUUGGAGGUAUGAAUUUUGGACUUAAAACUUGAUUCUAAUGUGAAAUCUACCUAAUAAAUCAUGGAAUCUAAGCCUAAAAUUGAGGAAUUAAGGCUUGAGAUUAAGAGACUUUAAAAUGAGAAUUUGAGGGGCCAUUUGGACUACGAUUUCAGUGUUCUUGGUAUGUAUGGACUCGUGGGAGGAUAAAGAUUCCAUUGAUGUGAUUUUUAUCUAGUUUCAAGACGUGGGCCCGGGGGUCGGGUUUGGCCAAUUUCGAGAUUUUUGGUAUCAUUUGAUUAUUUUCGCUUGGGCUUCGUUCCUUUAGCAUAUUUUGACGCCGUGAUUCUGAUUUGGAUAGAUUCGAUGCGAUUGGAGGCCGAUUCGAGGGGCAAAGGCAUCGCGGAAUAGUAUUUCACCGGUUUGAGGUAAGUAACCAUUGUAAAUCUAGAACUGAGGGUACAAAACUCAGGUAUUUGAUUUAUUUUGAUAAUUGUGGUGACGCAUAUGCUAGGUGAUGAGCGUGUGGGUGUGCACCAGUAGGGAUUGUGACUUGGUCCACCCCUUAACGACUAUUAAGCCGCGUAUUUGAUUUGAAACCUUAUGAUAUUCUUUACUUUAGUCAUUUAUACUGUAUUAUGGGUUAUAUGCCAUGUUUGGGGCCUUGUACCGACCUGUUGAGACCCUUAGGGGUAUUUUUACUAUUUUUCCUCACUCUACUUGUUGAAAGCAUAUCCUCAAUCAUGUUUUACCUGUUUAAAUGUUUAAAAUUGGUUUUAUCACUCUACUUCUAAAUGUGAGGACUGUUUGGACUGAGUUCCCUAAUUUCUAUUGUUGUGCCCGAGAGGCUGUAAGGUUAAUGACGGAGAGAAGUUAAGAACCUAAUGGUGAGGACAUUUAUAUAUGUAUGAGUUAUGGAUCGGGCUGCACACCGCAACGAUACAUUUAUGAAUCGGGCUGCAUGCCGUAGCGAUAUUUAUAUGAAUCGGGCUGCACGCCGCAGUGAUAUAUAUAUAUAUAUAUAUAUAUGUCGGAAGGGGCGGCGCGGCGCAGCGAUAUGACGCUUGGGCUGUAGGAGCCCCUCCGGAGUCUAUACACCCCUAGUGAGCAUAGUCAACUAUAAACUAUGGAUCGGGUUGCAUGCCGCAACGGUUACUAUGAUUUCUAUUAUUAUGAGAUAUUAAUGAGCCUAAGUGCUGAGAGUGAGUACUGAGUGACGAGAGUUGAGUCACGAGUAACUGAGAGGCUUUCCGAGAGGCCAUAUUCUAAGUGACACCUUGCCCGAGGGGCCCAGUUAUGAUAUUGUCACUGAUUUCACUCUUCUUUUGAAAUAAGCCUUCGUUGGAAAAAUUGCUAAGUAUAUGGUUUCAAGUAUUUAAACUGAAAUUGAUGACUUUACGACGAAAUUGGUUUUAAACUGUGAAGUUGAUCUGUUAUCCUGUUGUUCAUUCAUUUAUAUAAUUGAGGACAUAACAAUGAAGACAGUACCACUUUAGUUUGGUAUUAUUCCUGUCACACCUUCUUUUUCCUACACUCCCGGAAGGAGUGUAUAAGAGAGUUUUUUCCAACUUAAAGUGACAAUCGAAACGAGAUUAUUUAUUUAUUAAAUUCAGAGUCGCCACUUAGGAUAAUUUAUGAUGUCCCAAGUCACUGGUUUAAAUCCUGAAUCGAGGAAAAGAUUGACUCUAUAUUACAGUCUGCGAACCAGAAAUCCGGAUAAGGAAUUCUGUUAACUCGGGAGAAGGUGUUAGGUAUUCCCGAGUUCUGUGGUUCUAGCAUGGUCGCUCAACUAUUAGAAUUGGCCUAUUUACUUUAUUUUAGUACAUAUUUUAACCUAUGGUACAAUUUUAAUUUUAUAACCACUUUUACUUAACUAUUUUUAGGAGAAAGAUUCAACGUCAUCUAAAACAUGUCUUGAACUACGUCACAUAAAUGCACCCGCGGUCCAUGACAUAUUUUAUUCAACGUUGUUUGAGAUUUGGAUUUGGGUCACAUAAAUGCACACCCGAAUUGAGAUUCACGUAUCGUAACCAUGCCACGGGAACUGUAUCCAUGGCCACGAUAAUUUAUUAAGAACUUGCCUAAGGCAUGCUAAUAAUUUUGGAAUCAGUAAUUAUUUAUUAUGAACUACAUGAACAAAAUGGGCUAGCUACGUAUAUUUACAAUGCUUAGAUUAACUCCAACUAUUGUUAAGUUAGGCUAAAGGAUCAAUUAACUCAUUACUGAUCUUAUAUAAAUCGCUAUAUCCAUCUUAGCUCUAAUCCUUAAGGUUUCUUAUUUUCACCUUCAUAACCAAGCUUAAACAAAAUUUCCAAACCACAAAUUAAUAAAGAUAAGAACAGAAAAACUAAUUCCAUCAGCAACUCCAUUUUAAGCUAUUGUCAAGCAAACAUUUUAAACAUGCUUUAACUACAUUUUAAACAAAUUAUUUUAAGCUACUGUCAAGCAAACAUAACAUUCAUCCAAAAAUCAAGAUAGGCAAAUGAAAAAAAACCAUGGACACAAAUAGAUCACUUAACAGAGGAUAAGAAUUUGGCCUCGAUAAUAUUAACACAAAAUCAGUUACAACAAAUUUUGAUGAACUAAAUCUAACCCGGAAAUGCAACAGUAACAGGAGCUCGGACCGCAAACCCCAUAGGCAACCUCAAACUCAAACUCGCACUCUACGAUUUGAACACUGAAAUUCUGAAAUUCAAAUUAUUCGGAAGUGAAGGCAGUAGAAAAGAAUUCUUCAUUGUCAUGGACUAUUGGUUGGAUUAUGAAGUCCAUUCCUUGGGUACAUAUAGGCGACAAUUAUAUAUGACCCCAUUUGAGUUGCUUGCUUCAAUACAGUAGGGACACAUGAAUUGAAUGCUGACUAGGGAUUUUUUAAAGGAAGGAGCAUAACUUGUAUCAUAUCUACUUUGAUUAUGAUUUCACAAUUGAGCACUUUCAGUAAAAAUUGUAGAAAUUUCCCUUUAUCCCACAACCAAAUGAAACUGUUUCCUCAAAUUGUCGUUCUCCUCUACCGUCUCCGUGCUCUUGUGAGUGGAGUGACUUUUUUUAAUUCUUGAAAGGAAAGGACGAUGAAGAUCUGAAGUGGGAGGGGGUUCUUUUGUGUGUUGCGGCCGAUAUUUUUUUGUGUCCUCUAGGUCUAGAGUCUAGGGUGUAUUUAUAUACAUAGGAAGGGAUUUUAGAUUAAGGGGGUAUAGACUUGGUAUUAUUGGGCCUUAAAACUGGGCCAAAGAAAGAAAUAAAAUGGACUACUAUAUUAAAAUAGGACAAAUUAACCCAAGGCUAACUCUUCCUUCUAAAUAUAAUUUAUAAUAUAAAAAUUUAAAACUAGUCUUAAUCAAUUGAACCAAACUAUAUUAAAACAUGAAAUUAUUUUUUGUGUUUUCAAGAUUAUAUAUAAAAAUAAAGAUAAAGUACUAUUUUUGUAUAUUUUUAUAUUUAAUUUUAUGAAGGAUACGCAAACUAAAAUAUUUUUAUAAUUUUUAUUUUUUUUGGUUGACGAAAUAAAGUAAAAAAAGUCAAAAUUAGGUGAAAUAGCGAUUUUAGGCC